UACGUAGGAGACGAGCGUUGUCCGGAGUUACUGGGCGUAAAGGGUGCGCAGGCGGCCUCGCGCGUCGCGAGUGAAAUCUCCCGGCUCAACUGGGAGGGUGGUCGCGAGACGGCGGGGCUUGAGGCUCGGUGAGGGGCGUGGAAUUCCGGGUGGAGCGGUGAAAUGCGUAGAGAUCGGGAAGAACAUCGGUGGCGAAAGCGCUCUACUGGACCGCAACUGACACUCAGGGACGAAAGCUAGGGGAGCGAAUGGG
rnacentral:rRNA from 1 species